ACAUGCAAGUCGAACGCUGAAGCCUGGUGCUUGCACCGGGUGGAUGAGUGGCGAACGGGUGAGUAACACGUGAGUAACCUGCCCCUGACUUCGGGAUAAGCCCGGGAAACUGGGUCUAAUACCGGAUACGACUGCCGGACGCAUGUCUGGUGGUGGAAAGUUUUUUCGGUUGGGGAUGGGCUCGCGGCCUAUCAGUUUGUUGGUGAGGUAAUGGCUCACCAAGACGACGACGGGUAGCCGGCCUGAGAGGGCGACCGGCCACACUGGGACUGAGACACGGCCCAGACUCCUACGGGAGGCAGCAGUGGGGAAUAUUGCACAAUGGGGGAAACCCUGAUGCAGCGACGCAGCGUGCGGGAUGACGGCCUUCGGGUUGUAAACCGCUUUCAGCAGGGAAGAAGCGCAAGUGACGGUACCUGCAGAAGAAGUACCGGCUAACUACGUGCCAGCAGCCGCGGUAAUACGUAGGGUACGAGCGUUGUCCGGAAUUAUUGGGCGUAAAGAGCUCGUAGGUGGUUGGUCACGUCUGCUGUGGAAACGCAACGCUUAACGUUGCGCGUGCAGUGGGUACGGGCUGACUAGAGUGCAGUAGGGGAGUCUGGAAUUCCUGGUGUAGCGGUGAAAUGCGCAGAUAUCAGGAGGAACACCGGUGGCGAAGGCGGGACUCUGGGCUGUAACUGACACUGAGGAGCGAAAGCAUGGGGAGCGAACAGGAUUAGAUACCCUGGUAGUCCAUGCCGUAAACGUUGGGCACUAGGUGUGGGGGGCAUUCCACGUUCUCCGCGCCGUAGCUAACGCAUUAAGUGCCCCGCCUGGGGAGUACGGUCGCAAGGCUAAAACUCAAAGGAAUUGACGGGGGCCCGCACAAGCGGCGGAGCAUGCGGAUUAAUUUCGAUGCAACGCGAAGAACCUUUACCAAGGCUUGACAUACACCGGACCGUCCUGGAAACAGGUUCCUCUUCUUUGAAGCUGGGGUACAGGUGGGGCAUGGUUGUCGUCAGCUCGGGUCCGUGAGAUGUGGGUAGGUCCCCCCAACCGAACGCAACCCUCCCUUUUGUUUCCCGCCCGGGACGGCCCCUUCGGGGAGUUUUUAAACCCCCUUUCAGCAGGGAGAGGAAAGUGACCGGUACCUGCAGAAGAAGUUCCCGGCUAAACUACGUGCCAGCAGCCGCGGUUAAUACGUAGGGUACGAGCGUUGUCCGGAAUUAUUGGGCGUAAAGAGCUCGUAGGUGGUUGGUCACGUCUGCUGUGGAAACGCAACGCUUAACGUUGCGCGUGCAGUGGGUACGGGCUGACUAGAGUGCAGUAGGGGAGUCUGGAAUUCCUGGUGUAGCGGUGAAAUGCGCAGAUAUCAGGAGGAACACCGGUGGCGAAGGCGGGACUCUGGGCUGUAACUGACACUGAGGAGCGAAAGCAUGGGGAGCGAACAGGAUUAGAUACCCUGGUAGUCCAUGCCGUAAACGUUGGGCACUAGGUGUGGGGGGCAUUCCACGUUCUCCGCGCCGUAGCUAACGCAUUAAGUGCCCCGCCUGGGGAGUACGGUCGCAAGGCUAAAACUCAAAGGAAUUGACGGGGGCCCGCACAAGCGGCGGAGCAUGCGGAUUAAUUCGAUGCAACGCGAAGAACCUUACCAAGGCUUGACAUACACCGGACCGUCCUGGAAACAGGUCCUCUUCUUUGAAGCUGGUGUACAGGUGGUGCAUGGUUGUCGUCAGCUCGUGUCGUGAGAUGUUGGGUUAAGUCCCGCAACGAGCGCAACCCUCGUUCUAUGUUGCCAGCACGUGAUGGUGGGAACUCAUAGGAGACUGCCGGGGUCAACUCGGAGGAAGGUGGGGAUGACGUCAAAUCAUCAUGCCCUUUAUGUCUUGGGCUUCACGCAUGCUACAAUGGCUGGUACAGAGAGAGGCGAACCCGUGAGGGCAAGCGAAUCCCUUAAAGCCAGUCUCAGUUCGGAUCGUAGUCUGCAAUUCGACUACGUGAAGUCGGAGUCGCUAGUAAUCGCAGAUCAGCAACGCUGCGGUGAAUACGUUCCCGGGCCUUGUACACACCGCCCGUCAAGUCACGAAAGUCGGUAACACCCGAAGCCGGUGGCCUAACCGUAAGGAGGGGGCCGUCUAAGGUGGGACUGGUGAUUGGGACUAAGUCG
rnacentral:rRNA from 1 species